GCCGGCGUAGCUCAAUUGGUAGAGCAAUUGACUUGUAAUCAAUAGGUCGCGGGUUCGAGUCCCAUCGCCGGCUCCA
rnacentral:tRNA from 1 species